UGCGCAGGCGGUUUCUUAAGUCAGAUGUGAAAGCCCCGGGCUUAACCUGGGAACUGCGUUUGAAACUGGGAGACUUGAGUGUGGCAGAGGGGGGUGGAAUUCCACGUGUAGCAGUGAAAUGCGUAGAUAUGUGGAGGAACACCGAUGGCGAAGGCAGCCCCCUGGGCUAACACUGACGCUCAUGCACGAAAGCGUGGGGAGCAAACA
rnacentral:rRNA from 1 species